UACGUAGGGUGCGAGCGUUGUCCGGAAUUACUGGGCGUAAAGAGCUCGUAGGUGGUUUGUCGCGUUGUUCGUGAAAACCGGGGGCUUAACCCUCGGCGUGCGGGCGAUACGGGCAGACUGGAGUACUGCAGGGGAGACUGGAAUUCCUGGUGUAGCGGUGGAAUGCGCAGAUAUCAGGAGGAACACCGGUGGCGAAGGCGGGUCUCUGGGCAGUAACUGACGCUGAGGAGCGAAAGCGUCGGGAGCGAACAGG
rnacentral:rRNA from 1 species